rnacentral:rRNA from 1 species
GUUUGAUCCUGGCUCAGAUUGAACGCUGGCGGCAUGCUUUACACAUGCAAGUCGAACGGGGUUGGGAGCUUGCUUCCAAUCUAGUGGCGAACGGGUGAGUAAUACAUCGGAACGUACCGUGUAGUGGGGGAUAACGUAGCGAAAGUUACGCUAAUACCGCAUACGAUCCACGGAUGAAAGCAGGGGACCUUCGGGCCUUGUGCUAUACGAGCGGCCGAUGUCUGAUUAGCUAGUUGGUGAGGUAAAGGCUCACCAAGGCGACGAUCAGUAGCGGGUCUGAGAGGAUGAUCCGCCACACUGGGACUGAGACACGGCCCAGACUCCUACGGGAGGCAGCAGUGGGGAAUUUUGGACAAUGGGCGCAAGCCUGAUCCAGCCAUGCCGCGUGUCUGAAGAAGGCCUCGGUUGUAAGGAC